AAUACCAAUUGCGAAGGCAGGUUACUAACAAACGAUUGACGCUGAUGGACGAAAGCGUGGGUAGCGAACAGGAUUAGAUACCCUGGUAGUCCACGCCGUAAACGAUGGAUACUAGCUGUUCGGGAGCAAUUCUGAGUGGCUAAGCGAAAGUGAUAAGUAUCCCACCUGGGGAGUACGGGCGCAAGCCUGAAACUCAAAGGAAUUGACGGGGGCCCGCACAAGCGGUGGAGCAUGUGGUUUAAUUCGAUGAUACGCGAGGAACCUUACCAGGGCUUAAAUGUAGUUUGACCGAUUUGGAAACAGAUCUUUCGCAAGACAAAUUACAAGGUGCUGCAUGGUUGUCGUCAGCUCGUGCCGUGAGGUGUCAGGUUAAGUCCUAUAACGAGCGCAACCCCUGUUGUUAGUUGCCAGCGAGUCAUGUCGGGAACUCUAGCAAGACUGCCAGUGUAAACUGUGAGGAAGGUGGGGAUGACGUCAAAUCAUCACGGCCCUUACGUCCUGGGCCACACACGUGCUACAAUGGACGGUACAGAGAGCAGCCACUUAGCAAUAAGGAGCGAAUCUAUAAAACCGUUCUCAGUUCGGAUCGGAGUCUGCA
rnacentral:rRNA from 2 species